rnacentral:tRNA from 1 species
GGCUCGGUAGCUUAGUUGGUAAACCACUUAUCUAGCGUAUAAGGAUCAUGAGUUCAAAUCUCACCUAAGCUG